rnacentral:rRNA from 1 species
UACGAAGGGGGCUAGCGUUGUUCGGAACCACUGGGCGUAAAGCGCACGUAGGCGGGUUCUUAAGUCAGGGGUGAAAUCCCGAGGCUCAACCUCGGAACUGCCUUUGAUACUGGGAAUCUUGAGUUCGGGAGAGGUGAGUGGAAUUGCGAGUGUAGAGGUGAAAUUCGUAGAUAUUCGCAGGAACACCAGUGGCGAAGGCGGCACACUGGCCCAUUACUGACGCUGAGGCGCGAAAGCGUGGGGAGCAAACAGG